rnacentral:rRNA from 1 species
CACCGCGGUUAUACGAGGGGCCCAAGUUGAUAAGCCACCGGCGUAGAGCGUGGUUAGGACGAAAAUUACACUAGAGCCAAACACCUUCAAGGCUGUUAUACGCAACCGAAGACAGGAAGUACAACCACGAAAGUGGCUUUAUCUGGUUUCAACCCACGAAAGCUAGGAUA